rnacentral:rRNA from 1 species
AUGAAUAUUGCCGUCCUUUUCCGCUGGCUUUGGCACAUUUCGCAAGGGCACGACGGCCUCUGGUUAGACAUCAUCCGGAACAAGUACCUGCGUCGGCAACCCCUUGCCUUCUGUCAAAGGUCCGGUGGUUCACAUUUUUGGCAGUCGGUCAUCCAACUGCUCCCCGUCCUCCGCAUCGGAACUUCCAUCUCGGUUGGAUCGGGAGCGGCGACUUUGUUCUGGUUUGGCCGAUGGGCGGGUGACACCCCCUUCACGACUCGCUUCCCCGACCUCUUCUCCAUCACCGUCGACCCCUCCAUCUCUGUAGAGAGGGCCCUUAUUGACCUAGGGCGCCUCGCUUUCCGGAGGCCAUUUGGGCCUCUGGAGGCCGCCGCUUGGCAGGAGCUGCUUGACUGCGUCGCUCUCCACGAGCCGGUUGUAGAUGCUGGCCCAGAUGAGGUUCGGUGGCGUCUUGAGCCUUCGGGCCAAUUCUCCACCAAGUCCCUCUAUCUGGCCAUCGCCCCCUCCUCCGCCCUACCCCCCUUUGCGGUGUGGUCCAUCCGCUUGCCACUAAAAAUCCGGAUAUUCAUGUGGCAAUGGGUCCACGGACGGAUCCCGUCUGGGGUGGAGGUUCGCAAGCGCAAUGGCCCCGGGUCUGGCCUCUGCCCGCUGUGCGGUACCCCCAAAGAUUCCAAUCACAUCUUCUUCUCUUGUGUGUCCGCUCAAUUUGUUUGGAGCUGCUUUAGAGAAGUGGUGGGUGGUGAUUGGUGCCACACCAACUUCCCCGACCUCUUCGUCGAACUCCAGAACUCCCCCUGCUAUCUCGCCAUAUUAGGUGGCUCGAGAUUGGGGCACUCGCGUGGACCCUCUGGACGAUCCGCAAUAAGCUUGUGA